UACGUAGGGGGCAAGCGUUGUCCGGAUUUAUUGGGCGUAAAGAGCGUGUAGGCGGCCAUGCAGGUCAGCUGUGAAAUCCCGAGGCUCAACCUCGGGUCUGCAGUCGAUACGAGCAAACUAGAGUGUUGCAGGGGAGACUGGAAUUCCUGGUGUAGCGGUGAAAUGCGCAGAUAUCAGGAGGAACACCGGUGGCGAAGGCGGGUCUCUGGGCCGAUACUGACGCUGAGGAGCGAAAGCGUGGGGAGCGAACAGG
rnacentral:rRNA from 1 species